rnacentral:rRNA from 1 species
CAGCCGCCGCGGUAACACGGAGGGUGCAAGCGUUAUCCGGAUUUAUUGGGUUUAAAGGGUCCGUAGGCGGAUCUGUAAGUCAGUGGUGAAAUCUCACAGCUUAACUGUGAAACUGCCAUUGAUACUGCAGGUCUUGAGUAAAUUUGAAGUGGCUGGAAUAAGUAGUGUAGCGGUGAAAUGCAUAGAUAUUACUUAGAACACCAAUUGCGAAGGCAGGUCACUAAGAUUUAACUGACGCUGAUGGACGAAAGCGUGGGGAGCGAACAGGAUUAGAUACCCGGGUAGUCCCUGUCUCUUAUAC